rnacentral:tRNA from 1 species
GGAAGUGCGUAGCUCACUGGUGGGGCUCCCGGACUUCAAAUCCGGUGUGAGGCGCUAAAACCGUCUCGGGUGGGUUCGAUUCCCAUGCACUUCCGCCA